AUUGAACGCUGGCGGAAUGCUUAACACAUGCAAGUCGUGCGGUAACACUUCGGGUGACGAGCGGCGGACGGGUGCGUAACGCGUGAGAAUCUACCUUUUAGUGGGGGACAACUCGGGGAAACUCGGGCUAAUACCGCAUAUGUCCUACGGGAUAAAGCAGGGGACCUUCGGGCCUUGCGCUAAAAGAUGAGCUCGCGUGAGAUUAGCUUGUUGGUGAGGUAAAGGCUCACCAAGGCAACGAUCUCUAGCUGGUCUGAGAGGAUGAUCAGCCACACUGGGACUGAGACACGGCCCAGACUCCUACGGGAGGCAGCAGUGGGGAAUAUUGGACAAUGGGGGCAACCCUGAUCCAGCAAUUCCGCGUGUGUGAAGAAGGCCUGCGGGUUGUAAAGCACUUUCAGUAGCCAAGAUGGGAUUAUUCAUUAAUACUGGAUAGUCUUGACAUUAACUACAGAAGAAGCACCGGCUAACUCCG
rnacentral:rRNA from 1 species